UUUCAGUUUGACUGAUCUCUAAGCUGAGUGCUUGCACCAGCUACUCUUCCUUCCCACCUUCCCUCGGGGUGUCUCCGUUCUCACCCCUCUGCGUGGUUAGCCCCCUAAGACAUUGUGCCACGUGCCCUCAUUGGUAAGACCAUAACAGCUGCUCACAGUCCUCGGUGGCCAUGCUGAGCAGUCCAUGAGUCUGUCCUCACAAAUCUAGUAGAAGUUACAAGAUCUCCUCUGACAGGCACUCCAAAUGCCUGCCUCAGAGUCGGUUAGUGGCCAGCCCCAGGAUCUAGCCUCACGACCACACAGCCUAUCCCAGUGGAGCCCCACUGUUCAUCCCUCCUCAGAGCCUGCCUCUAACCCUAGGUAACUCCUAGGAAGAGGAACCCCUAGUCCCACCAACCAUACUGACCAGGAUGCCUCUGUGGUCCUCAGCUCCCUGUCAGAGGAAGUCCAGUCCUUCUACUAGCGUCUGUAUCUACAGUUGGGGUAAAGAUCUUCCAGAAGCAUCCAGGUACCGAGAACUGAAAGAUGGAGGCUCAAACGGCUCUUCUGGGCAGCUCCGGGAGGACUGGCCCCCACCUGAUCCCGAGUCAGGCAGGACAGGUCACAUCACCAGCUCUUUACAUCCAGGCCUGGUGCUGGAACACCCACCUGGUACUCUGCAAGCGCUCUACCAUGAACCCAACCAUCCCGGCCGAUCUCUUCCUGGAGGCAGAGCCCUCGGGGGCACACCUCCACCCCAGCUCUGUCUGAGAAACCAUCCUUCAUUUCGGAACAAAGCCUUUACCCAGGAACUCUACAAGUGGUUUUGCUUGUGAGAGCCACAUACAGUAAGUACUGUGCCACAUACAGUAAGUACUGUGCCACAUACAGUAAGUACUGUGCCACAUACAGUAAGUACUGUGCCACAUACAGUAAGUACUGUGCCACAUACAGUAAGUACUGUGCCACAUACAGUAAGUACUGUGCCACAGUACAGUAAGUACUGUGCCACAGUACAGUAAGUACUGUGCCACAUACAGUAAGUACUGUGCCACAUACAGUAAGUACUUGGCAUUACUGUGGCAGCCCCACCGCUGAGGGCUGCUCAGGAUGAUGGGCACAGCAGCUUCUAGUGGCCCUGGGCUCAUACAUCUUACACCCAAAUGUAACCUGUUUUCUCUGGAAAAAGGCAGGUGGCCACUGCUGGUACCCACCACUAACUUAACCACACUCAGCCCAAAGGCUGGCUCUAGGCUUGGGGGUGUUGGCCCCAUCCCUGACAGCUCCCAGAGUCCUCAAAACUGAAGGCAAAGCUGGCCUUGGUAGCCUGUGUUCAGCUAACACUUUCAGAAGCGCUAGCCGACGAAGCCCAGCUUUACAGAGCAGUUUGAAAGGUCAUGACCCAGAUAGCAGCUCCCUGCCUAAGUCCAAAGACAGACAUGCUCUCUGAGAGUCAUGCCAGGCUUCAAGGCUGUGAGGCUGGAGGCCUUUCUUUCUCACCCAACCCCUAACAGACAUUUACAUAUUUGUGUGGGUGGCAGUACAGUCCCUAGAAAGCUGGCCCUCAGGGGUGUGGGGCAGACAGCUGGCAUGCGGGCCUGAAGAUAGUCCAUCUUAACUUUCUGAAAGCAGCUGUUCGUGGGCCGUCGCCUUCAAGGAAUCUAGUGCACAGUAAGUCCUCCCUGGGCUCUGACCACGAUGCCACUCGUACCUGACCUUGGAGGGCAAAGGGGUUUGAUGGCUCUGGCACAAGUGGACAUGGCCUCCUGCAUCCUGAUCAGCCUAAUCGAGAGCUCUGCCUUCCAUUCUCCACAAGGAAUAGCAAUUGCCUCUUCCGAUUCUAUAGGAUACCUGAUCCCACAUCAGCGCUCAAGGUCAAGCCUCAGCCCCUCUGCCUUCCUCUUGCCAUCAUCUGUCCCUCAGAGGAGAGCUCUGUCCUCCUUUCCCCACAUUUGGGCCUUACUAAUGCCAAGGGAGACGCGAAACAGAAGUUUCUAUGGAGUUGACCUAUCGUACACAAGACAGCAAGAGGCCUCCAGUCCUAGCAAAGGAAGUAUUGAAGGGACACGCCCAAAGCAGAAGAGGAAGCAGAAGGAAGAGGCUUUUGAGACGUGUCAUCCCAAGGGCUUGCCAAUUCUCAAUGCCCUGGUUCCUUCGACAGAGGGGUUCUCCAAGUAUGAAUCACAAGUCACUGCUUUGAACAAUGUUCCAUUGGGCCCCACCUGGGCCCAGGCUGCUUUAACCCUCAAACCUCCCGCAGUCACACCUAACCCCUGGGUUUUCUCCCCAGUGCUGACCUGGGAGCUUCCAAGACUCCCAGAAACCAACCCCAGGUCUUUAUCCUGCGACCAAGGACAGCUACUUGAGUUCUGGCCUUGAAGGCUAUUUUCCCAGUAUCAGGGA